rnacentral:rRNA from 1 species
UGGGGAAUAUUGCGCAAUGGGGGAAACCCUGACGCAGCAAUGCCGCGUGAAGGAAGACGGUUUUCGGAUUGUAAACUUCUUUUGUACGGGACGAAAAAAAUGACGGUACCGUACGAAUAAGCCACGGCUAACUACGUGCCAGCAGCCGCGGUAAUACGUAGGUGGCAAGCGUUAUCCGGAAUUACUGGGUGUAAAGGGCGAGUAGGCGGGCUUGCAAGUCAGAUGUGAAAACUACAGGCUUAACUUGUAGACUGCAUUUGAAACUGCGAGUCUUGAGUGAUGGAGAGGCAGGCGGAAUUCCUAGUGUAGCGGUGAAAUGCGUAGAUAUUAGGAGGAACACCAGUGGCGAAGGCGGCCUGCUGGACAUUAACUGACGCUGAGGCGCGAAAGCGUGGGGAGCAAACA